rnacentral:lncRNA from 12 species
UAUCAUUUGAAAGUAGUUCAACUCUUUUAUCACUUUAUUCUACUGGCAAUGUAAUACAUAAUAUUACAGUCCAGUGCUUCUGAACAAUGCCCCAUUUACAAGAUAAUGUGAAUAACUACUAGUUCAAGCACAGAACUGUUAAUAGACCAUAAAAAGGUAUUUGUUCAUAUAAAGUAUCACUCAUUUGCUUUCCUAUCAUACCCUUUAUCUAAGCACUGCACUAAUGUGUCUAUGCGGUAAUAAUUUCAUUUUUGAACUUUAAGAUAAGUCUUUAAAUGACUCAAGCAUCUGUGUAGCUGAGGAAGCAUAACCUUUCCUAAGUGUUGGUGCCAGGCCAUAUUAACUGGGCUCUCUGAACACUUGGUGAAUUCUCAGCACAUUUUAACAAGUUAAAGCUAAUGGAAAACAAUUUACAACUUAAAUAGGAGACAGCUAUAAAUAAAUAUAACAACUUGGUUAUAAAACUUUUUCUCUAGCUGAACGUUCUCUCAAAUAAUAAUGGUGACAUCUCAGAAUCGAUAGCUUUCAUAGAAUGGAAAUGGAUAGAAGAAACUGGAAAUAAAUAGAAAUAUAAAAGAGAGAAAAUCGUUGAUUUCCCAGCAUUCGCAGUUUCCAAGGAUUUAUCAGGAAGACAGAGUAGCAAGAGGAGGUGAAGGAUAACCUCCCCAUUCCAGCCAGGGCAGAAGGAGACCUAAGGUCUUAAUGCAGAGAACUCCUGAAUACAUUAGGGAUAUGAAAAAUGUGAAUAUGGUUGAAAACACAUGAACUGUAUUGUCCUGGAGCUGUUUUCUCUCAACAUAUAAAUGAAGAGGGUGGAGAUGCUGUUGACUUCCACUACCUAUGGGACUAUUGUGGCCUGACCCUCUGCAGUCCAACAAAGAAAAGAAUAAUGGAUCUAAAAGAGACCAACAUUCAAGUAAAGAAUGGCCAGAAUGCAUCUAGAGAAGUAAAACUGCUGAGGGAUUGAGAUGACAGUUGGUUAAAAAUAAUGAGAAUAUGUAAAGGAAUUCAAGUAUAAAGUACACUCAGGGAAAG